rnacentral:rRNA from 1 species
AAGGCAUUGCCCUGUAACGGCGAGUGAGCGGCAAAAGCUCAAAUUUGAAAUCCUGCGGGAAUUGUAAUUUGAAGGUUUCUUGGUCUGAGUCAGCCGCGCCCUGGUCCAUUGGAACAUGGCGCCUGGGAGGGUGACAUCCCCGGAUGGAACCCCCCGACUCUUUGCUCCCCGGUUCCUACAAAUCGAUUUGUUUGGGAAUGCAGCUCUAAGUGGGUGGUAAAUUCCAUCUAAAGCUAAAUAUUGGCGAGAGACCGAUAGCGAACGACUACAGUGAUGGAAAGAUGAAAAGCACUUUGAAAAGAGAGUGAAACAGCACGUGAAAUUGUUGAAAGGGAAGGGCUUGCAAGCAGACACGGUUUUACCGGGCCAGCGUCGAAAAGGGGGGAGGAACAAGAACUCGAGAAUGUGGCGCGCACCUUCGGCCUCGGGAAUGUGGCUCUGGUUGACGCCAGUGUCCCUUUUCGAGGGCAUACAUCCAACGGCGCUUGAGGAUUGGGAGCUAGCCCCCCGAUGCUGAACCCAUGCCAAAAUGCCGCCCGUCUUGAAACCCGGACCA